UCUUUACUAUGUCAACUCCAAGCCAGUUACUGUGAAUGCUAGUUCAAUUCCCAUGAUUUUACGAUGAUAUGUUUUUAUAUGUUUUUUGUUGAUUCUUUUUCCCGUUGGAUGACAUCUUUUGUCUUCAUAUUUAGACUUUGGAUAUGUUUACUGUGGUUGUUAGUUCUCUCUCUCUAAACCCCCGGAACAUUCCUUGACUGUCCCGCACGUUCAUCCUCUACUACUCCUCUCAGCUAAACUCGACCUGCCCUGUGUCGUUGAUUUGCUGUAAGCCACGCGCUGGAUACAACGUCAUGACGAUGAUGAGAUAUAUGAGCAGCCUGCAUUCUCUGGGACAAGCCACCAGGGCCUUCGAGGCAAUCUUGGCCGAAAACAUAGACGAGGUAUCUGACGAGUGGCUGAAAGAUCACUGCACUUAGUGCUCUUUCUCUCCAUUUGUGGUUCUAUCCAGCGGUUGGACCUAAGAGACCUAAUAAAGGCGUCUCCAUC